AGCAGCCGCGGUAAUUCCAGCUCCAAUAGCGUAUAUUAAAGUUGCUGCAGUUAAAAAGCUCGUAGUUGAAUUUCGGGAUCAAUAUGUUGGUCGUGCCUUGGUACGUACUAAUUUAUUGGUUUCUUCCUUCUGACGAACCAUGAUGUCAUUAAUUUGGUGUUAUGGGGAAUCAGGACUGUUACUUUGAAAAAAUUAGAGUGUUUAAAGCAGGCUCACGCUUGAAUACAUUAGCAUGGAAUAAUGAAAUAGGACGUUUGAUUCUAUUUUGUUGGUUUCUAGGAUCGACGUAAUGAUUAAUAGGGAUAGUUGGGGGCAUUAGUAUUCAAUUGUCAGAGGUGAAAUUCUUGGAUUUAUUGAAGACUAACUACUGCGAAAGCAUUUGCCAAGGAUGUUUUCAUUAAUCAAGAACGAAAGUUAGGGGAUCGAAGACGAUCAGAUACCGUCGUAGUCUUAACCAUAAACUAUGCCGACUAGGGAUCGGAUGAUGUUAAUUUUAAUGUACUCAUUCGGCGCCUUACGG
rnacentral:rRNA from 1 species